rnacentral:rRNA from 1 species
GUGAACGCUGGCGGUAGGCCUAACACAUGCAAGUCGAACGGCAGCACAGUAAGAGCUUGCUCUUACGGGUGGCGAGUGGCGGACGGGUGAGGAAUACAUCGGAAUCUACUUUUUCGGGGGGGAUAACGUAGGGAAACUUACGCUAAUACCGCAUACGACCUACGGGUGAAAGGAGGGGAUCUUCGGACCUUGCGCGAUUGAAUGAGCCGAUGUCGGAUUAGCUAGUUGGCGGGGUAAAGGCCCACCAAGGCGACGAUCCGUAGCUGGUCUGAGAGGAUGAUCAGCCACACUGGAACUGAGACACGGUCCAGACUCCUACGGGAGGCGGCAGUGGGGAAUAUUGGACAAUGGGCGCAAGCCUGAUCCAGCCAUACCGCGUGGGUGAAGAAGGCCUUCGGGUUGUAAAGCCCUUUUGUUGGGAAAGAAAAGCAGCAGGUUAAUACCCCGCUGUUCUGACGGUACCCAAAGAAUAAGCACCGGCUAACUUCGUG